AUACGGAGGGUGCAAGCGUUACUCGGAAUCACUGGGCGUAAAGGGCGCGUAGGCGGAUUAUCAAGUCUCUUGUGAAAUCCAACGGCUUAACCGUUGAACUGCUUGGGAAACUGGUAGUCUAGAGUGAGGGAGAGGCAGAUGGAAUUGGUGGUGUAGGGGUAAAAUCCGUAGAUAUCACCAAGAAUACCCAUUGCGAAGGCGAUCUGCUGGAACUUAACUGACGCUAAGGCGCGAAAGCGUGGGGAGCAAACAGGAUUAGAUACCCUGGUAGUCCACGCCCUAAACGAUGUACACUAGUUGUUGGGGUGCUAGUCAUCUCAGUAAUGCAGCUAACGCAUUAAGUGUACCGCCUGGGGAGUACGGUCGCAAGAUUAAAACUCAAAGGAAUAGACGGGGACCCGCACAAGCGGUGGAGCAUGUGGUUUAAUUCGAAGAUACGCGAAGAACCUUACCUGGGCUUGAUAUCCUAAGAACCUCUUAGAGAUAAGAGGGUGCUAGCUUGCUAGAACUUAGAGACAGGUGCUGCACGGCUGUCGUCAGCUCGUGUCGUGAGAUGUUGGGUUAAGUCCCGCAACGAGCGCAACCCACGUAUUUAGUUGCUAACGGUUCGGCCGAGCACUCUAAAUAGACUGCCUUCGUAAGGAGGAGGAAGGUGUGGACGACGUCAAGUCAUCAUGGCCCUUAUGCCCAGGGCGACACACGUGCUACAAUGGCAUAUACAAUGAGACGCAAUACCGCGAGGUGGAGCAAAUCUAUAAAAUAUGUCCCAGUUCGGAUUGUUCUCUGCAACUCGAGAGCAUGAAGCCGGAAUCGCUAGUA
rnacentral:rRNA from 1 species